GUUUUAAUAGUUUAAUAAAAACAUUGGUCUUGUAAAUCAAAAAUAAGAGCUAUUUCUUUUAAAACU
rnacentral:tRNA from 1 species